AGCCACCUUUUUCCGACCAACU
rnacentral:sRNA from 1 species